AUGUGGAUAAAAUUUCUUACACAUAUAUUUUGGGCCACAACCUUGAGCCCAUGACUUGGGCCCAUUGAUAAUUUCCAAUUCUCUACAUAUAGAACUAACACAUUAGGUUAAAGGGGGUGGUGAAUUUAUUUUUAGAAUAAGGUCAUAAACUUUUCAGAUUUUUGUUCACAAGGGGUUUCCGGUCACCACCACCCCGGAAUCCGGCGAAGCUCCGGCAAUACAAAACCCCGACUCAAAACCUCCAUUUUCUUUCCUUCACUGUUCAUCCUUAAAGAAAACACCACCAAAGAACCUCCAAAAUUCGUCUUCUCUCCCCAAUGCCGUUUCCGGCAAGACAACGAACCAAAACAUCCACCAAACCCAUCUUUGUUCCCUUUCUCAUUUUCCGGUGAAAUAAAAACGACCCUAAAUCCACCAGAAAUCCCACACAAACCAGACCACCACAAAAACCCCUCGGAACCGGUCCCUUCCCCUCUCCCUUUUUACGAUUUUUAGUCCAUUUUUGCAAGUACUCCGGCGAGGUCUCAAAGCUCCAGAACCCAUCUUCGGCGAAACGACGCCAAUAACCACAAACUCCGGCGAAGCUUCAUGCCAUGGCUAUGACGACGGUCAGCAACAACAAACCACCAUGAAAUAACCAAAUCCGGCCUUCUAAGAGAAAAAACUUUCAGAUCUGCCCGGAAAGGUACCCGGAGCUGCUUCCCAUUGAAGCUAUUCGAACAAAGUUCGAACAAUAUUUUGAUUCAUUGUCGUAUAUUAUUGACGAUAGACAAAUCUAGGUUGUUUCUUAUAUUAUUUUAUUUUAUUACUUGUGUAUCUUGUUAUGUUUGUUUUAUUUAUAUAUUAUUUUUAUCUCCUCCUCAAUUUGAAAAAGUGAACUCAGUCGGGACCCACAAUUGUGGAUUUCGAAGGAUGCCUAA